CCUAGUUCAUCGAAUCAGGAACCAGUUACAAUUACCGAACCUGCCAUUUCGAUGGAACACUUUGAAAAUCCCGUGGAGGAGAACAAUGAAGUUCCUAUUAGGAGCAAGAGACAGAGGACUGCAAAGUCCUUUGGUGAUGAUUUUCUUGUGUAUCUCAUAGAUGACACUCCCAGUUCUAUUUCAGAGGCUUAUGCAUCUGAAGAUGCUGACUACUGGAAGGAAGCAGUUCGUAGCGAGAUGGAUUCCAUCUUGGCGAAUGAAACUUGGGAGAUAACUGAUCGUCCUUAUGGGUGCAAACCUAUAGGAUGCAAAUGGGUAUUCAAGAAGAAGCUUAGGCCUGAUGGUACUAUUGAAAAGUACAAGGCUCGGCUCGUGGCUAAGGGUUAUACCCAAAAGGAAGGUGAAGAUUUCUUUGAUACUUACUCACCUGUGGCUCGACUGACCACUAUUCGAGUUCUACUUUCACUAGCUGCCUCACAUGGUCUUCUCGUUCAUCAAAUGGAUGUUAAGACUGCUUUCCUGAAUGGAGAGUUGGAUGAGGAAAUUUAUAUGGAACAACCAGAUGGGUUUGUAAUAGAUGGUCAGGAAGGGAAAGUGUGCAAAUUGCUGAAGUCUUUGUACGGACUCAAGCAAGCACCCAAACAGUGGCAUGAGAAGUUCGAAAGAACUUUAACAGCUGCAGGCUUUGUUGUGAACGAAGCUGACAAAUGUGUGUACUAUCGCCAUGGUGGGGGCGAGGGAGUUAUGCUUUGCUUGUAUGUUGAUGACAUACUGAUUUUUGGAACAAAU
rnacentral:rRNA from 1 species